rnacentral:rRNA from 1 species
UACGGAGGGGGCUAGCGUUGUUCGGAAUUACUGGGCGUAAAGCGCACGUAGGUGGCUUUGUAAGUUAGAGGUGAAAGCCCGGGGCUCAACUCCGGAAUUGCCUUUAAGACUGCAUCGCUAGAACGUCGGAGAGGUAAGUGGAAUUCCCAGUGUAGCGGUGAAAUGCGUAGAUAUUGGGAGGAACACCAGUGGCGAAGGCGGCUCACUGGACCGGAACUGACGCUGAGGCGCGAAAGCGUGGGGAGCAAACAGG